rnacentral:rRNA from 1 species
AGACGGGGGGUGCUAGCGUUAUCCGGAUUCAUUGGGUUUAAAGGGUCCGCAGGCGGGGAAAUAAGUCAGUGGUGAAAGCCUACAGCUCAACUGUAGAACUGCCAUUGAUACUGUUUUUCUUGAGUAUAGAUGAAGUGGGCGGAAUAUAUCAUGUAGCGGUGAAAUGCAUAGAUAUGAUAUAGAACACCGAUUGCGAAGGCAGCUCACUAAACUAUUACUGACGCUCAGGGACGAAAGCGUGGGGAGCGAACAGGAUUAGAAACCCUAGUAGUCC